GCCGUCGUGGCGCAAUGGUAGCGCGUCGCUUUCCUAAGGCGGAAGUUGCGGGUUCGAUCCCCGUCGUCGGUU
rnacentral:tRNA from 1 species